UACAGAGGGUGCGAGCGUUAAUCGGAAUUACUGGGCGUAAAGCGUGCGUAGACGGUAGCGUAAGUCAGAUGUGAAAGCCCCGGGCUCAACCUGGGAAUUGCAUUUGAGACUGCUCUGCUCGGGUGCGGAAGAGGGAAGCGGAAUUUCCGGUGUAGCGGUGAAAUGCGUAGAUAUCGGAAGGAACACCAGUGGCGAAAGCGGCUUCCUGGUCCGACACCGACGUUCAGGCGCGAAAGCUAGGGGAGCAAACAGG
rnacentral:rRNA from 1 species